UACGGGAGGCAGCAGUGGGGAAUAUUGCACAAUGGGCGAAAGCCUGAUGCAGCUAUGCCGCGUGUAUGAAGAAGGCCUUAGGGUUGUAAAGUACUUUCAUCGGGGAGGAAAAACAAAACUAAUAAUUUUAUUUCUUGACGUUACCCGAAAAAGAAGCACCGGCUAACUCCGUGCCAGCAGCCGCGGUAAUACGGAGGGUGCUAGCGUUAAUCAGAAUUACUGGGCGUAAAGAGCACGUAGGUGGUUUUUUUAAGUCAGAUGUGAAAUCCCUGGGCUUAACCUAGGAACUGCAUUUUGAAACUGAAAUACUAGAGUAUCGUAGAGGGAGGUAGAAUUCUAGGUGUAGCGGUGAAAUGCGUAGAUAUCUGGAGGAAUACCUGUGGCGAAAGCGGCCUCCUAAACGAAUACUGACACUGAGGUGCGAAAGCGUGGGGAGCAAACGAGGAGUUAGAUACC
rnacentral:rRNA from 1 species